UACAGAGACUGCAAGCGUUGUUCGGAUUCAUUGGGCGUAAAGGGUGCGCAGGCGGUGUGUUAAGUCGGAUGUGAAAUCUCAAAGCCUAACUUUGAUGGGUCAUUCGAAACUAGCACGCUAGAGGACUGGAGAGGAGACUGGAAUGGUCGGUGUAGCGGUGAAAUGCGUAGAGAUCGACCAGAACACCGGUGGCGAAGGCGGGUCUCUGGACAGUUCCUGACGCUCAGGCACGAAAGCCAGGGGAGCAAACGGG
rnacentral:rRNA from 1 species